GCUAACUUUCGUUUACAUAGUUAGAUGAUUGCUAACAACUCUGGCAGUGCAAAUGUUCUGCAUUUCAAUUCUAGUUCAUAAAGCACUUUGCUGCCUCUGGAAUGCAUGUCCUAGUGAUCCCACAUGUCCUGGUGCUCAAUCCUUCAGGAUAACAGCCCAUCUCGGGCCUUCCUCUUGGGAGAGCGGUGACCUCUGUUUGUUAUUGGGGAAGCUCAGCUUUUCUGCCGUGUUGAUGUGACACGGAAGAGCGGCUCAAGUAAUCAGCAUCCGUUUCCUUCCCCUCUGCUCCUUGCUGUGCCAUGCCGACAGCUGCAGCUAUCUGGCCGUUUUAGCUUGGAUAAGGAAAACUAACUAUGCUCACACUUGGCUUGUCAGUGGAUUGGCUUAUUAUUGCAAGACCAAAAGAACAUAGCGACCAGACGAAAUUGUAAAAUGGGAGCAAUCAUUUUUUUUAUUGUUGCUGGUUCAACAGUAGACAGCUGCCAUGUUAGUGUGUUUAUGUAGUCCAGCCUCCUUGGUUCAGCACUGGACAGCUCCCGCCUUAGUGUAAUGAUGUAGUACAGCCUCCCCAGUCAUUUUACUGUGUUCAUACAGUACAGCCUCUCUGGUUCAGCACUGGACAGCUCCCGCCUUAGUGUAAUGAUGUAGUACAGCCUCCCCAGUCAUUUUACUGUGUUCAUACAGUACAGCCUCUCUGGUUCAGCACUGGACAGCUCCCGCCUUAGUGUAAUGAUGUAGUACAGCCUCCCCAGUCAUUUUACUGUGUUCAUAUAGUACAGCCUCUCUGGUUUAUCACUGGACAGCUCCCGCCUUAGUGUAAUGAUACAGUACAGCCUCCCCAGUCAUUUUACUGUGUUCAUAUAGUACAGCCUCUCUGGUUCAGCACUGGACAGCUCCCGCCUUAGUGUAAUGAUGUAGUACAGCCUCCCCAGUCAUUUUACUGUGUUCAUAUAGUACAGCCUCUCUGGUUUAUCACUGGACAGCUCCCGCCUUAGUGUAAUGAUGUAGUACAGCCUCCCCAGUCAUUUUACUGUGUUCAUAUAGUACAGCCUCUCUGGUUUAUCACUGGACAGCUCCCGCCUUAGUGUAAUGAUGUAGUACAGCUUCCCCAGUUAUUUUACUGUGUUCAUAUAGUACAGCCUCUCUGGUUCAGCACUGGACAGCUCCCGUAUUAGUGUAAUGAUGUAGGUCAGCCUCCCCAGUCAUUUUACUGUGUUCAUAUAGUACAGCCUCUCUGGUUCAGACCUGGACAGCUCACCCCCUUAGUGUAAUGAUGUAGUACAGCCUCCCCAGUCAUUUUACUGCGUUCAUAUAGUACAGCCUCUCUGGUUCAGCACUGGUCAGCUCCCGCCUUAGUGUAAUGAUGCAGUACAGCCUCCCCAGUCAUUUUACUGUGUUCAUAUAGUACAGCCUCUCUGGUUCAGCACUGGACAGCUCCCGCCUUAGUGUAAUGAUGUAGUACAGCCUCCCCAGUCAUUUUACUGUGUUCAUAUAGUACAGCCUCUCUGGUUCAGCACUGGUCAGCUCCCGCCUUAGUGUAAUGAUGUAGUACAGCCUCCCCAGUCAUUUUACUGUGUUCAUAUAGUACAGCCUCUCUGGUUCAGCACUGGACAGCUCCCGCCUUAGUGUAAUGAUGUAGGUCAGCCUCCCCAGUCAUUGGACACUGGACAGCUCCUUUUUUAGUAUGUUGAUGUAGUACAGCCUGACCAAUUAUUUCAGUGUGUUUAUGUAGUACAGCCUUUUUGGUUCAGCACUGGACAGCUCCCGCAUUAGUGUAAUGAUAUAGUGCAGCCUCCUCAGUUAUGUUAGUGUGUUGAUGUCGUAUAUCCUCCCCGGUUCAGUGCUCAUCUGCUCCCACAUUAGUGUGUUACUGUCUAGUGCAGGGUCCCCCGGUGCAUCAUCUUGGGCGUUGUGUGGCUUCAGGUUAGGGCCAAGUGCCCAUGAUCGGAAGGUCGCUGGUUUCAUUCCCGUGUUUGGCAGUGUAAUGAUAUCACCACUGGGCCCUUGGGCAAGGCCCUUAUCCCUGAAAAAUGCUUCAGGGGCUGCAGAUAAGUGGCUGACCCAGCGCUCUGACUACAAGUUUCACUCUCACCUGUCUAUAUGUGUUUGUCUCAGGGGAAAACACGCUGGGAAGAGCAAUAACUGAAGAACUUGUGUUUGUACAAUAGUAAAUUUUGUUUACCUGGGCAAUAGUUUUGGUGGAAAAAAAAACUUUGAGAAGCUUAGCAGUUGGUUUACCAUCCACAGAAGCACUCCCUUCAUUUACAUCUCUGCAUAUUUCUGAGAUUUUUAAGCAUAUGUAAAGUCACGAACAUGCAGCUGCAGUAAUUAACAUGCAGACAAAGACAGCAGCUUCAUUCCCUGCCCAGUCAUAAAAAUACACUCAUUUAAAAACGUGAAACGUGUCCCUAAUAAUACACCAUUCUUUCUGAACAUACAUUUACUCUAGAAUAAAAAAGGAUGGGUUAUAGAUAUUUGUGUUUCAGAGUAACAUGUUAAUGACCAAUUUUAUCUUAUCAUUAUUUGUUUUACAUCUCAGAAAUGACGUCUUUCUCAUUUUAGUAUAAUAGAAAAAUAAUCAAACCAAAUUAAUAUAAUUUUAAUGUAUCUGUACCAGAAUGUGUAAUGGGAAAUAUUUGAAUAUGUAAAAACCGAGGUGCAAAUUAAACUUUGGGCCAGUUCUUAUUGUAAACGUUAUAGAUGUAAUAUGUAGAUAUUUAUAUUAUGUGAGCAUGCACGUACGCACAUGUAUGAGAAAAGCUUUGCGCUUCUCUGAUGUCAUCACAGUUUCUUUCCUAAUUAGGUUUACUCAACCUUGCUGUGCUUGGUAGCGUAAUUAUACAUAUAUAAUAUGCAUUUUGUUGCCCAGAAGGUGAUGAAUUAUGUUCACUGAUGCUGCAAUAGGGAUGAUAAACAUAUAUAUCUA